GGGGCCGGGGGCGGGGACCGGCUAGACUCCCACUCCGUGGUCCGAGCUCGCCACUCGCCCGCGCCCUAGGCCGCCGCGCGCUGCCCAGAGGAGGCGCCGGCAGGGGCCGGAGGCGCGCACCCCGCCCGGCACACCCAGGCGGAGCAGCGACCCGGUCUCCUGCAGCGCAGGGCGCCGCCCGCGUGCGUGGUCCUGUCCCCAUCGCGGCCGACCGCACACGCCGGGCCUGGUUCUGCAGAUCAGGAGUUGGAGCCCUGUACCUUCCUUUCCUCUGAGCCCUGUCUCCUUCGGCAGGCGGGAGCUCCAUAGAACUCGGUUGCUCUGCUGUUUGCUUUGGAGAGGACACAGCGGACAAUGAGGUAUGUUCAAAGGAUCUGUGUUUCCCAGCCUUGGGUCACCGGGAGCUACUGUUAGGUCACCAAAUGGUUCCACCUGAGGGAGGACCCUUGCUCUCUUCCUAACCUUUCCUUGGUCCCUUCCACACUUUUGUUGUCCUUUCCCCUGUGUUUCUGGAAACAGGGGCUGGUGGAAUGCUGGCUCGGGGACUCUGGCAUUCUGCUUCUCUUGGCAGCGCCCAGGGCUAUGCCAGUCAAGGCUGCAGCCUGGAGUUCUCUGUGUAGGGUUUGAGUUGAUGGGGCAGGGGUCAGGGGUCAGGGGCUGAGUCUUGGGCAGGGCAUGGUGGGAGGGUGCUGAGCCGUCUCUCUUCUGGGCUGACUCACACACUUCUUUCUCCAU
rnacentral:lncRNA from 1 species